AUGGCGCGCUUCCUCCUUGCCCUCCUCGCUGCCACCGUGGUCGCGGUUCAGGCUGGAGGUCAGCUGGCCCAAGCGGCGCUGGCGCCGGCCGAGGUGUUCUGGCGCGCCGUGCUGCCGCACUCGCCAUUGCCCGACGCCAUCCUCCAGCUCGUCCAACCUGCAGCGGACACCAGCUUCUUGAGCAAAGGCAGGGUCAAGCCUCCCUUCGACUACCAAGAGUACAUCCGCUCGUCGUCCGAUGAUGAGUCGAGCGAACGCACCGCCGGAGAGCGGGAGUUGGAGUACGACGACUACAAAGGCGCCGACAAACGCCGUGACGCCACCUUUAACCCUUUCAACUACAUGUACAAGGCGCCUAGCAAAACACGGCCGAGCCCUUUCGAUUACAUGUACAAGGGGCCUAGCAAAAGCCAAGCGGGAGAACGGCUUGGCGCCCCCGCUGGUAACCCUUUCGGGUACCACUACAAGGCGCCGAGCAGCAGCCAUGCCGGAAGCGGGGCGUCCACGGCUAGGGUCGGCAAGGCGGAGACGACGACGGUGUUCUUUCACGAGGAGGCGGUGCGCGUCGGCAAGAGGCUCCCGUUCUACUUCCCGCUGACGACUCCCGCCGCUCUCGGUUUCCUGCCGCGCCAGGUCGCCGACUCCGUCCCGUUCACGACGGCCGCGCUACCCGGCGUCCUCGCGACGUUCGGCAUCGCGUCCGACUCCGCCACGGUGGCCAGCAUGGAGGCGACGCUGCGCGCCUGCGAGUCGCCGACCAUCGCCGGCGAGUCCAAGUUCUGCGCGACCUCGCUGGAGGCCCUGGUGGAGCGCGCCAUGGGAGUUCUGGGGACCCGGGACAUCAGGCCGGUGACGUCGACGCUGCCCCGCGCCGGCGCUCCGCUGCAGUGGUACACCGUCCGCGUCGUGCGGCCGGUGGAGGGGGGCCCGGUCUUCGUGGCAUGCCACGACGAGGCCUACCCGUACACCGUGUACCGGUGCCACACCACCGGCCCGUCCAGGGCGUACAUGGUGGAGAUGGAGGGCGCGCGCGGCGGCAACGCGGUGACCAUCGCCGCCGUGUGCCACACCGACACGUCCCUCUGGAACCCGGAGCACGUCUCCUUCAAGCUGCUCGGCACCAAGCCCGGCGGCACGCCGGUCUGCCACCUCAUGCCGUACGGGCACAUAAUCUGGGCCAAGAACGUGAAGCGCUCGACUGCGUGA
rnacentral:rRNA from 1 species